rnacentral:rRNA from 1 species
GAUGAACGCUGGCGGCGUGCCUAAUACAUGCAAGUCGAGCGAACGGACGAGAAGCUCGCUUCUCUGAUGUUAGCGGCGGACGGGUGAGUAACACGUGGAUAACCUACCUAUAAGACUGGGAUAACUUCGGGAAACCGGAGCUAAUACAGGAUAAUAUUUUGAACCGCAUGGUUCAAAAGUGAAAGACGGUCUUGCUGUCACUUAUAGAUGGAUCCGCGCUGCAUUAGCUAGUUGGUAAGGUAACGGCUUACCAAGGCAACGAUGCAUAGCCGACCUGAGAGGGUGAUCGGCCACACUGGAACUGAGACACGGUCCAGACUCCUACGGGAGGCAGCAGUAGGGAAUCUUCCGCAAUGGGCGAAAGCCUGACGGAGCAACGCCGCGUGAGUGAUGAAGGUCUUCGGAUCGUAAAACUCUGUUAUUAGGGAAGAACAUAUGUGUAAGUAACUGUGCACAUCUUGACGGUACCUAAUCAGAAAGCCACGGCUAACUACGUG